UCUUCCUUCGUCUCCCGCUGCGCUUCCCCUCCAAUUUUUCUAGGUUUUCGGAUACCAGAUCGAUCGGCCCCUCCCCCUUCAUGGCGGAGGUCGUCGACGCGCCCGCCGAAGCGCUAGAUCGAGGGCGGGAUCUCCAGCCGGAGCCGCGCGAGAGCCCUGGCGACGGGUCCUCCUCCCCGCCGCCACCGCCUCCGAGGAGGAGGGACAGGGAUUCGAGGGAGCGGAGGGACGAUUGGCCCCCGAGCCGGCGGGAUGAUCCCCACGAUCCGAGGAACCGCUCACCGCCGCUUCCCCCGCCUCCGCCUCUGGGGCCGCCGAGGGACGACAAGGAUCGGGAGUACCGUAGGCGGAGCAGCCCGAGCCCACCGACGUACCGUGACCGCCGACAUUCGCCUCCCCGCCGGUCCCCUCCGCCUGGGCCAUUUAAGCGAGCUAGGAGGGAUGACGGUGGAUAUGACCGGCGUCGAGGUAGCCCGAGAGGUGGUUAUGGACCGGAUGACAGAAGAUAUGGCUAUGAUUAUGGUGGUGGAUACAAUCGUAGAGGUUGGUACAGAGACGAGAGGUCUCAUGGUCGCUAUACAAAUCGUCCAUCUGAUUGGCCUGAUAUAGGAUAUGGUGAUUAUGGUGAUGGCCCUGAGGUUAUUCAAAGGGGAGGUUUGAUGUCAUAUAAGCAGUUCAUUCAAGAACUUGAAGAUGAUAUUUUUCCUGCUGAAGCUGAACGCAGAUAUGAGGAGUACAGGUCAGAGUACAUCUCCACGCAGAAGCGAGCUUAUUUUGAAGCUCAUAAAGAAGAGCGAUGGCUGAAAGACAAGUAUCAUCCAACUAACUUGGUAGCAGUCAUUGAAAGGAGGAAAGAACAGGCCAGAUCUGUUGCAAAGGAGUUCUUGCUUGAUUUGCAGAGCGGGACACUUGACCUUGGUCCUGGAGUAACAGUUUCAUCAACAAGCAAAUCUGGGAAUGGUAGUGAACCAAACUCUGAAGAUGAGGCAGACACUAAUGGAAAACGAAGAAGGCACAAUAAGGGGCCAGCAAAAGAAAAUGAUCUGCACUCUGCUGCCCUUAAGGCACACCCAGUCAGUUCUGAGCCUCGGAGAAUUCAAGCUGACAUUGAACAAGCUCAGGCCUUGGUCCGUAAACUUGACAUGGAGAAGGGUAUACAGGAUAAUGUCCUCUCUAGUAGUGGUCAUGAUAAGUUGGAUGCAGAGAAAUCUCGUGGGGGAUCCAUGGGGCGAAUUAUCAUUAUACGUGGCCUGACUACUGUCAAGGGCCUUGAAGGUGUCGAAUUGUUAGAUACUUUGAUCACAUUUCUGUGGCGCAUCCAUGGAUUGGAUUACUAUGGCAUGUCUGAGACAUCUGAAUUAAAGGGUCUUCGACAUGUUAGGGCUGACAAUAAGACUCAUGAUGGAACUAAUGCUAGUGGAUCUGACUGGGAGAAGAAACUUGAUUCAUUUUGGCUGGCAAGAUUGCAAGGUCAGGAUCCCUUGGAAACAUUGACAGCCAAAGAUAAGAUUGAUGCAGCAGCUACCGAGGCCCUAGAUCCUUUUGUAAGGAAAAUACGAGAUGAAAAAUAUGGCUGGAAGUAUGGAUGUGGAGCUAAGGGCUGCACGAAACUUUUCCAUGCUCCCGAAUAUGUUCAUAAGCAUCUUAGACUGAAACACCCAGACCUUGUGAUCGAGCUCACCUCGAAAGUUCGAGAGGAUCUGUAUUUUCAAAAUUAUAUGAAUGAUCCCAAUGCACCAGGCGGGACACCUGUCAUGCAGCAGUCUGCAUUGGUGAAAAUGCAAAGACGGAGGCCACUGUUAGAUAACCGCCUUAGAGAUGAACGUGGCAAUCGCAGAGAUCUUGACAGGAAUGAUAGAUAUGAUGACAGGCAUGAUAGGUCUGACAACUCCCCUCGCGAUGGCAAUGGUAGCUUGGAGGGGGAGAAUCAUGAGAAACUUCUAUAUGAUGCUUAUGGUGGACAAGGCUUGCAUGGGGCAUUUCCUUCGGAUAUUCCUCCUCCAUUGUUGUUGCCUGUUCCUGGUGCUGGGCCACUAGGACCUUUUAUCCCUGCCCCACCGGAGAUUGCCAUGCACAUGUUGAGGGAGACUGGUGGGUCAUCAUCAUUUGAGUCUAAUGGUGGAUCUCGUGGUAGGAAGGGAAGGCUUGGUCCACAAGUGAGUGGUCCAGCUCCAAUUCUUCCUAUACCUUCAGCAUUUCGGCAUGAUCCCCGUCGAAUAAGAAGAUAUCUAUCUGAUGGAGAAGAUAUUUCAUUUCCGACUUGAACUCAAGACUUAUCCCGAGACUUGACUCGUGAUCUGGAUCCUAAUUGGGAGUGGGAGGUGGCAUCUCUCCUGAUGACAAAUCCCCAUUUAUGAGUUAAGUCACGAGCUAAGCCUUAAGUUUAAGUCGGGAUGACAAGCAGCAGUGCCAUCCAUGGGCAAGAGUUGGGACGUUUCACGAGGGUCGGCAACUCAUCCUGGACAUGACGAGCUUGUCCUCCGACACUGGUGGGCCAACGGUGGAGCUGUUCUACUUCGGCCGGCACAGGAUACGUCUCGACGCGCUGGUGUGCCACCCAGUCCAUGGGCCCUCUGUGCCGAAAAGAUGUUUACUUUAAGCUGGUUUCAAAAAUUUAAGCUGGAGAACCAACUCCAUGGAUGCUUCUGACGGUAGAUGAGCUGAAGAAGGAGGAGGGGCAGGAUCACGAUGGGUCAGCCUGAGGUAUCGUCCCAAUCACACAUACGGCCUUUGUUUUAGUGCAAACACAUGUCAAGAGGGGUGGGGCCAUGUCUGUUCCACUAAAAGUGACAUGUUAGGAAUCGCCACCCUCAAAGUGGGUACCAAAGGCAGGCAGCCUUACACCUGUAAAGCUUGUGGCAGACCCCCUCACUCAUUGAGGUCAAAUGUUCCCUGUGUUGGUUCAAUUGACUUGGAAUGGGCUUUUCAGUGAGACGAUGGUCUUGCAAUUGCAUUUGUAGGCCCCUCUUCUUUUUGUUGGCAUAUGCUGAUGCUUGUUCUUCUUCA